GCCUUGGUAGCUCAGUCGGUAGAGCGGUGGACUGAAAAUCCAUAUGUCGGCGGUUCGAUUCCACCCCAAGGCACCA
rnacentral:tRNA from 1 species